ACUUUAUUUUCAUUGUAUAGCCUACAAGUACAAAGACAACGAAAUGCAGUUUGUGUCUAACCAGAAGUGCAAAAGAUUAGAAAAGUGCAAUGAA